rnacentral:rRNA from 1 species
UGGGGAAUUUUGGACAAUGGGCGAAAGCCUGAUCCAGCAAUGCCGCGUGUGUGAAGAAGGUUUUCGGAUCGUAAAACUCUGUCUUUUGGGGCGAACGUGAGUAUGGUGAACAAUCAUAGUCAGUGACGGUACCAAAGGAGGAAGCCACGGCUAACUACGUGCCAGCAGCCGCGGUAAUACGUAGGUGGCAAGCGUUGUCCGGAAUUAUUGGGCGUAAAGAGCGCGUAGGCGGGAUAGUCAGUCUGUUGUAAAGUGCGGGGCUCAACCCCGUGAUGGCAAUGGAAACAGCUAUUCUUGAGUGCAGGAGAGGAAAGUGGAAUUCCCAGUGUAGCGGUGAAAUGCGUAGAUAUUGGGAGGAACACCAGUGGCGAAGGCGACUUUCUGGACUGUGUCUGACGCUGAGGCGCGAAAGCCAGGGGAGCGAACGGGAUUAGAUACCCCCGGUAGUCCUGGGCCGUAAACGAUGGGUACUAGGUGUGGGAGGUAUCGACCCCCUUCCGUGCCGGAGUUAACGCAAUAAGUACCCCCGCCUGGGGAGUACGGUCGCAAGACUGAAACUUAAAUGAAUUGACGGGGGUCAUAGCUGUUUCCUG